GGCCGGUUAGCUUAAUUGGGAGAGCGUGGUGCUGGUAACACCAAGGUCACAGGUUCGGACCCCUGGACUGGCCA